ACUAAGCAUGAAUAUUAAUUCAUACCGAGUAGAAUGUUAUGUCCUGUAGAUCUGAACAACUUGAAAUUUUGGCAUUAGACUCAUUGAACCUUAAAUGAGUGCAUUAAUAUGAUGGACACUAGAUGGCAGUGGAAGACAAUUAUUCUGAAGUCGUUUUCACUGAAACGCUCAAAAGGCACUUCGUAGAAAGACGGGAGCGGAAUAUAACACGAUGUUCAUGAAAACUAUGCAUUCAAUCACAUUUUUCAGUGAUUUACAGAUUAGUAAAAGAGUAGUGGAUUAGUAGCUAAAUGAAAUAAAAUAACAGGCAUCCAGCCAGCUGUGUGAAACGAUGGGGGUUUAAUUAGGCCCAGCGCCGCUAUUGGCUGGUGAGAGGCUAUCACGUGAUUGCUCCAACGCCUCGUGAGUGAAACACGUGACUAGUCAGUUGUUUAAGCAGCGGUUUGUUUCUCUGAAGGCUUGCAGCGGUGACGUCAUUACUUCCAUAAGGAAGUUCUUCACUUCUCCAGUGUCUACUGCUGAAGAUAUUUGUGAAAAUGCUUUUUUUGUGUCAGAUUUGUUUUAAUCCCACUGAUGUCCAUCUGAUAUCCAUCCACUUGCUUGCUAUCAGGUUUUGGGAGUCACGGCCUUUAAGCAGAGAGGCGUGAGGUGAAUUAAUCUAGGUUGCGAACUCCAUCACUCAAAACCCUGGGUGACACCAUAAUCUUCAUCAAGUUGUAAGAUGACUCACAGAUGCACCUAUCGCGUAGCCACCACCGUUCCACACCUUUGUGCCUUUGCCACAUCCUGAACCAAGUCCACAACCAACAUGUAAAUCUGGGAUGACAUCUGGAAAUAUGUGCUUCCAAAACGCCACCUUAGAAGCAGAACCUCAAUCAGCUGCUGCACCGUUGACCUGACCAGAGUUAUGGGAUCCUUGCAGCUUGUCUAGAGUUGCUGGCUAGAAGACCACGGGAAACAAAUCAAGUCAUGUUGAUGCUUAGCUAGCCUGCAUAGCCUGCGAGGCCAAAUGCUAGAUUUAUUCAAAUUUUCAAACAAUACUAAAAACCUUAAGCCACUUUGGACAAAGAUUUAUUUGCAGAACGCCGUCAGUAACCGAGUCAGUCUAAUUAUAUAACAGGAGUUCUGUACUUCAACAUAGCAUAGUGUCACGUUAUUAGGCUAAGUGUUUAUUAACUGUGCAAAGUGUCCUGUUUCUGAGAUCAGCUGUUUAUUAUAUACAGCUUCUUGACAUUCUGUCUCAGCUAAGAGAUGUGAGAAUUUAUUCUUACAGAACUUUUGCGUGGUUAAGCUUCCUCAUCUGGAAGGAAUCUGUUUUGGCGUGGAAUGUAAGAUUACAACAUGGCAAUGCCAUUGGAAAAGUUGAGAUUAUGUAAAUUAGUGAGUGAGAUGCCCAGUAGGAGGUUGCUUUAACUCUUGGGAAGACUUGGGAAGAUUUACAAAGACGUGAAAAUUAGCUAGCUACUGCCUUUUCCUUCUCUUCUGCGUUGGUACCAUCUAAGGCAGAAAUAAGUGUUAGGGAUUAAGUGCCUUGAUUUUUAAGAUGCUUUACUAUUCUGGGACAUGACAUCGAUAGUAGCUGUCAGGAUUGGUCGGUGUCAGAAUGGUUCCAGACUGCUAUGGUACCUUGAUACGUUGCUAACCACUGAUACCGUUUCUCACCCCAUUGUAGCCACAUAUAAGGCUGUAAAUACAAAAUAACUAAACGUUGCAGUACUAUAAAGUUUCUGGAUCGAUGUUCGCUUUAGAUGAUCAUGAUCACGUGACGUCAUCACAACGCGCAUUCAGUCAAAGCCCUGUUUGCUUCAUGUGCGUCGAAUACGAGUACAGCUAAAAGGUCUCGUUUACCAGCAAACAUCACUGAGAAAGGUCGUGCAAUACAAUUUCUUGCAAUUUCGAUUUCGCCAAUUCAAGUAGGUUUCCACAAAAAAAAGCACAAAAAACUCUGCAAGUUGUAUCGCAAAUUUUGAAGAAAGAAAGCCACAGCAAAAUCAAGCAAUGGUGGCCGCAAAGAAUACAAAAAAACUCUGUGAUAUCCUGUAUGGACUGGUUUAUGUUAAUGCACUCGUUCUAAAAUGUGAAUGUUUCUAUAGUAACAGCUCGUUCAUACGGGGUUGUACAGCGAACAUACCACAUGAUCGGAUUAAAAAACGUGUAAUCGUUGAUAUGGUGACGUUUUCUCUAAGGAGUUGUUUAACAUUUAUUGAAGGAGUCUCCAGUGUAAUAGUCUCAGGUAAAGCUGUAAAUGUAAGUUUUCUGACAUCUUCAGGACUUUACACAAGGAGUUUACACUUACAGAGAGAGGGGAAAAUAAAGAGAGACUGCUGAGGGUAUGACUGUUUAUAGCUGCUAUAACAUAAGUGAGAACAGGAACUAACUUGUUUCACUGACGGUCCACGAUGUUAAAUGUAAGUAUAAAUGGAUGAAAGUAGAACGUCAUUCUGUAAUUUUUUGUAAACAAUCUCAUCAUCUGCAAAUUGCUGUGGUAUAAAUGCCACCGUUAGAAGUUCUAUGUAGAACCCUACAGUUGGGAGGUUCUUUUCUAGGACGCUUCCAUGCAGAACCACGUUACCGUUCCGAAGACCACUUAGUCUCAGAUUAAAUCUCGUUCCAGGUACUUAACUGUUCAUAGAUUUUUACAUGACUUUUAUAUGGAUUGUGUGAAUUCUUAUUUUGUGUUGUAAGGAUGAACCUUCACCAUCCGUCGCCGCUUCAACAAUUAACACCAGCCACAUUGAUUUAACUGUUAAUUUUGUGUCAAGCAGCAUGAAUAUAAACACUCCAGGUGUUAAUGGAACAUUGCUCUGUUCGCUGUGCGGAUGUACGAGGCCUUGCUGUGACUAUCGGUGAUAAAAGCCGAACUCAGCAAGCACAUCGCCAGAGCUGGUUCAACUAUUCAGGAGCUGAUAUUAAAUGUUAUAUCUUCUUCCAAGUUUACAGCAUAAGCAGUGCACAUGAGCAAAGGGAUCGUUUACCGCAGAUCUCACACAUGCUCAGAUAACUCCGGCUCGCUGCUCCUGCCCCCAGAACCCCUGCGCUUGUGUUUUUUUUUUUCCAUUGUGCCUGCCAAAGAUCAAAAAAGAAAUGUGGAUGACUCCCAGCAUGUUCUGCUUGCCACUGUGGUUUUGAUCAGAUUUCCUAUUGGCACUGUGAUUUUAAUGUUUUUAAAAACGCAUUUUGUAUUUAGGCUCCUUCCUGUAAUGUGCGGAAGUGGGAGGAGGGUCCAAAAAAGGCCUUGUUUGGGCAAAUCCAAAGACGUAAAUCAAAUAAGCCAUGAGAGGACAAACAAACGAAUAACGUGGGGUGAAAAGCAGCUCAAUAACACAGAAACGCAAAGUUUAGAAUCGCAUGAUGGCACUGAACAGAACAGCAGGGUAUACAGUAUGCAGAGAAGACUGAUCAAGAACUGACACGAAACAGGUGCACACAAACAGGUAACGAACAAUGACAGGGCAAGGAUGGAGACAGGACUAGAACAGAAACAAAAACUAAAUCACGUGGAGCUUGUUGCCGUGGAAACCGCAACGUAAAGGUGGAUUCGUAACACUAGUGAAUUCACACAAGUGAAAAUAAUCCUGUGGAAUUUAUGCUAGCUGUGCACGAGCUGUGAAAACAUUUUGUGCUAAUGCGAAUUAACAUUUUGGCUGAUGUGACGCCUGUAAGCAACUGACAUAAAUACUUUAUCACAUGUUAGGGGCCGGUCCCGGUACCGAGUGUUAGCAGGUUGAUGUGAGACUGUAGUCAACUUGUAAAUUCUCCUUUUUCCAGUGGAUUUAAAUUGAUUCAGCUUUACCAGUCUUGGAUUUGACAAAACCUGUAGAUUAGAACUAGCCACCUACAAAUUAUUUAUAAAACAGCAAGUAUGCAACAAGGUUAUUGUAAGUUUUUUUUUUUUUUCUUCAUUUUUAUCUUUUUUUUUUUUAAAUGUCAGUUUGGAUUUCAAUGUACAGUUUGUCAUUUUUACAUUAAAGGUGGAAAUGUUCUGAUAUGAUUUUA